UACGUAGGGGGCAAGCGUUGUCCGGAUUUACUGGGCGUAAAGAGCGUGUAGGCGGCCAAGCAGGUCCGUUGUGAAAACUGGAGGCUUAACCUCCAGACGUCGACGGAAACCGCGUGGCUAGAGUCCGGAAGAGGAGAGUGGAAUUCCUGGUGUAGCGGUGAAAUGCGCAGAUAUCAGGAAGAACACCAAUGGCGAAGGCAGCUCUCUGGGACGGUACUGACGCUGAGAAGCGAAAGCAUGGGGAGCGAACAGG
rnacentral:rRNA from 1 species